rnacentral:rRNA from 1 species
GACGUAGGGCGCGAGCGUUGUCCGGAUUUAUUGGGCGUAAAGAGCUCGUAGGCGGCUUGUUGCGUCAGCUGUGAAAACCCGCAGCUCAACUGUGGGCUUGCAGCUGAUACGGGCAGGCUUGAGUUCGGUAGGGGAGACUGGAAUUCCUGGUGUAGCGGUGAAAUGCGCAGAUAUCAGGAGGAACGACCGGUGGCGAAGGCGGGUCUCUGGGCCGAUA